GUGUGCGUGUGUGUGUGUCGCAUGCAUGUGCAUUUUUAUCGCUUGCAUUGAAUGCAGUGUGAUUGGGCAGAAAAAUUCGAUGUCCAUGUUAUGUACAUUGUGUGCAAUGACUAUGUGGGAGGUACUUGGAAUCUAAUCCGCACAUCCCCACAUCGUUCUUAAUAUCAACUAAAUCCGAUAUGCUAAAAUUUGAUCAUUAUAAUUAUGAUAAUGGUACUAAUAGCAGGGAAUUAAGAGUGUUGGUUCAGCAGCAGCUUAAUGCUAAAUAUUCUCUUGCUGUUGGAGAUUCACAAGCAAGGGUACCAUACAAAGCCCUUAAACCCCAGCACGUCAUUGGAUUGCCUCCUGGGAUAUCUCUGACCCAUCCUUCAAAUUUAUCUCAGUCUAAUCUGGAAGCUGUUUACAAUAGCUUGUCUUCCAUCAAGUUUGUUGGUGUGCCAUUGUACACUGAGACUGAACACUCCUACUGUAGAGGCUCAAGCAACACACGUGUACGACAGUCUAGCGGUACACAACUUUGUCAAAAAAAGGGGCUGAGGAUGACAUUGUAUUAAAUGUGACUCAGAGACAACAUCAAACUGUAUUUUUGGUGCGACUGUUCAACUUCUCUCCGAGUCGUAGGGUGCACUGCCAUGACAUCCCUGACGGCUUUAUUCGAGUGACUGUGAGCAAGAUCAAUCCUGGCACAAAGCCAUUGGUGAGAGGGACCGAUGAAGACUUAGCAUUACAGCAUGGCCUUUGACUCGUAAAUUGACUCGUAAAACAUAGUUUACCUCCGAAUUUAUGAUUAGUGUAUGUAACAUUUGCAACCUGAUUUCUAAUUGAGUGAUGUUGUGAUACCAAAAAUUAUUGUUAUGAUCUGAAUUAAUUCUGAAAAUCCUAUACUACCUAUAC